rnacentral:tRNA from 1 species
GAGGGUACAGCUCAAGUGGUAGAGCACAUGCUUAUCAUGCAUGAGGUCCUGGGUUCAGUCCCCAGUACUUCCU